AGGAGGGGAGAGGGCAAAAGUAGGCGUGUAAAUGAUAACUGUGAGGAGGAGAAGGAAAUAGGAGGAGGACGAAAAAGAAGACGACGACCGUUUCCUUUUCUCUCGCCCCCCCCCCCCCUGUCAUUUGUCCACACACACACACAC
ensembl:ncRNA B0310.8 ncRNA